rnacentral:pre_miRNA from 1 species
AAAUAUCAGCUGGUAAUUCUGGGAUUUUAUCAAUUUUCAAACACUCGGAAUUUCAGUUGGUAUACAC